rnacentral:rRNA from 1 species
UACGGAGGAUCCAAGGGUUAUCCGGAUUUAUUGGGGUUAAAGGGUGCGUAGGUGGCUUGUUAAGUCAGGGGUGAAAGACGGUAGCUUAACUAUCGCAGGGCCCUUGAUACUGAUGAGCUUGAAUUAACUAGAGGUAGGCGGAAUGUGACAAGUAGCGGUGAAAUGCAUAGAUAUGUCACAGAACACCGAUUGCGAAGGCAGCUUACUAUGGUUAUAUUGACACUGAGGCACGAAAGCGUGGGGAUCAAACAGG